CCUACGGGAGGCAGCAGUGAGGAAUAUUGGUCAAUGGACGCGAGUCUGAACCAGCCAUGUAGCGUGAAGGAAGACGGCCCUAUGGGUUGUAAACUGCUUUUAUAAGGGAAUAAAGUGAGGCACGUGUACCUGUUUGUAUGUAUUGUAUGAAUAAGGAUCGGCUAACUCCGUGCCAGCAGCCGCGGUAAUACGGAGGAUCCGAGCGUUAUCCGGAUUUAUUGGGUUUAAAGGGUGCGUAGGUGGGUUGUUAAGUUAGAUGUGAAAGUUUGCGGCUCAACCCUGAAAUUGCCACUAAUACUGGAGGACUAGAGUGUAGUUGAGGUAGGCGGAAUGCGUGGUGGAGCGGUGAAAUGCUUAGAUAUCACGCAGAACACCGAUUGCGAAGGCAGCUUACCAAACUAUAACUGACAUUGAGGCACGAAAGUGUGGGUAUCAAACAGGAUUAGAUACCCGUGUAGUC
rnacentral:rRNA from 1 species